AUGGUCAACAACAUCCACCUCAACUUCGACGCGUUGGAUGGGGUGACGGAACUCCAGGACGGCACCCCCGUCGUGCUGUGGGAGUGGCUCGAGGGGGCGAACCAGUCCUGGAAGAUCCUGCCGUGGGGCACCGACGGUGGCCUCCAUCCUGCGCUGUCCUCUGAGUGCACCAUGCGCAUCUUCUGCAGCGCCGGCGAGGAGUACAGCAUCGCCGCAAGGGACGGCGCGGUGUGCCUCGCGCCUGCGGACCCCAACGACGACCUGCAGCACUGGGUGAAGGACAUGAGGCACGGUGAAGACAUCAAGGACGAGUAUGAGCAGCCUGCGUUUGCCCUGGUGAACAAGGCCACCGGUGAAGCCAUCCAGCAUUCCCUGGAAAAGGGCCACCCUGUUCGCCUUGCGGCAUACGACCCGGACUGCCCGGACGAGUCGGUGAUGUGGACGGAGAGCGAGGACGUCGGCGACGACUUCCAUUGCAUCCGCAUGGCGAGCAACAUCCAGCUCAACUUCGACGCCGUCCAUGGCGGCGAGGACGAGAGCGUGGUGCAGGACGGCACCACCAUCAUCCUGUUUGACUGGGUCGAGGGAGACAACCAGCGCUGGAAGAUCGUUCCCUGGUGUGAGUAA
rnacentral:rRNA from 1 species